rnacentral:SRP_RNA from 1 species
CUUCAGACUCCGCACAAGGCACGGGAUUGUGAACCCCGCUAGGCGAGGAAUCGAGCAACGGUAGCAAUUCCACCUGUGUUGCGGUAAGGUCUGAAGCCG